UGAUUUCACCUUUAUAAUACUACUCCGGA
rnacentral:sRNA from 1 species